GUCGAGCUUCCAGUUUGUUAGAUACUUCACUACGUGAUAACUGAUGAUUUAAAAUGUAUUGUAGCCGUUUUCGCGAGAACCGUCGGAGAAGAUGUCUUGGUAGUCGAGUUUCCGGUUUUCUAGAUGCCUCCCUAUAUGAUAACUGAUGAUUUAAAAUGUAUUGUAGCGUUUUCCGUGAGAACCGUCGGAGAAGAUGUCUUGGUAGUCGAGCUUCCGGCUUGCUAGAUACCUCCCUACAUGAUAACUGAUUAUUUAAAAUGUUUUCUAGCGUUUUCCGC